rnacentral:rRNA from 1 species
GCACGGGUGCGUAACGCGUAACCAACCUACCCGAAUCUGGGGGAUAGCCCGCCGAAAGGCGGAUUAAUACCGCAUAAAACCACAGAGUGGCAUCACUUCAUGGUUAAAGAUUUAUUGGAUUCGGAUGGGGUUGCGUGCCAUUAGCUAGUUGGGGGGGUAACGGCCCACCAAGGCGACGAUGGCUAGGGGAGCUGAGAGGCUGGUCCCCCACACGGGCACUGAGAUACGGGCCCGACUCCUACGGGAGGCAGCAGUAGGGAAUAUUGGGCAAUGGGCGAGAGCCUGACCCAGCCAUGCCGCGUGCAGGAUGAAGGCUUUCUGAGUCGUAAACUGCUUUUGCCAGGGAAGAAAAAAGGGCGUGCGCGCUCUACUGACGGUACCUGGUGAAUAAGCACCGGCUAACUCCGUGCCAGCAGCCGCGGUAAUACGGAGGGUGCAAGCGUUGUCCGGAUUUAUUGGGUUUAAAGGGUGCGUAGGCGGUUCUUUAAGUCUGGGGUGAAAGCCCGUUGCUCAACAACGGAACUGCCCUGGAAACUGGCGAACUUGAGUACAGACGAGGGUGGCGGAAUGGAUGCUGUAGCGGUGAAAUGCAUAGAUAGCAUCCAGAACCCCGAUUGCGAAGGCAGCUGCCUAGACUGUAACUGACGCUGAGGCACGAAAGCGUGGGGAGCGAACAGGAUUAGAUACCCUGGUAGUCCACGCCGUAAACGAUGGAUACUCGCUGGUGGCGAUAGACGGUCACUGGCUUAGCGAAAGCGUUAAGUAUCCCACCUGGGGAGUACGCUCGCAAGAGUGAAACUCAAAAGAAUUGACGGGGGCCCGCACAAGUGGUGGAGCAUGUGGUUUAAUUCGAUGAUACGCGAGGAACCUUACCUAGGCUAGAAUGCGCGUGACCGAUUCAGAGAUGAAUGUGGAGCAUGUGGUUUAAUUCGAUGAUACGCGAGGAACCUUACCUAGGCUAGAAUGCGCGUGACCGCGCCAGAGAUGGCGCUUUCCUUCGGGACACAAAGCAAGGUGCUGCAUGGCCGUCGUCAGCUCGUGCCGUGAGGUGUUGGGUUAAGUCCCGCAACGAGCGCAACCCCUAUGGUUAGUUGCCAGCACGUAAUGGUGGGGACUCUAGCCAGACUGCCUGCGCAAGCAGUGAGGAAGGCGGGGACGACGUCAGGUCAUCAUGGCCCUUACGCCUAGGGCUACACACGUGCUACAAUGGACGGUACAGCGGGUUGCCAACCAGCGAUGGUGCGCCAAUCCCGAAAAGCCGUUCUCAGUUCGGAUCGGAGUCUGCAACUCGACUCCGUGAAGCUGGAAUCACUAGUAAUCGCGUAUCAGCAAUGACGCGGUGAAUACGUUCCCGGGCCUUGUACACACCGCCCGUCAAGCCAUGAAAGUCUGGUAGACCUGAAGCCGGUGCUCCGCAACGAAGCCGGUUAGGGUAGAACAGGUAAUUAGGGCUAAGUC